AUGAGGAAUCUUCCACAAUGGGCGAAAGCCUGAUGGAGCAACGCCGCGUGAAGGAUGAAGGUCUUCGGAUUGUAAACUUCUUUUAUGAGUGAAGAAUAUGACGGUAACUCAUGAAUAAGCACCGGCUAACUACGUGCCAGCAGCCGCGGUCAUACGUAGGGUGCAAGCAUUAUCCGGAGUGACUGGGCGUAAAGAGUUGCGUAGGCGGUUAUGUAAGCGAAUAGUGAAACCUGGUGGCUCAACCACACAGACUAUUAUUCGAACUGCAUAACUCGAGAAUGGUAGAGGUAACUGGAAUUUCUUGUGUAGGAGUGAAAUCCGUAGAUAUAAGAAGGAACACCAAUGGCGUAGGCAGGUUACUGGGCCAUUUCUGACGCUAAGGCACGAAAGCGUGGGGAGCGAACCGGAUUAGAAACCCCAGUAGUCC
rnacentral:rRNA from 1 species